rnacentral:rRNA from 1 species
GAUGAAAGCUGGCGGCGUGCCUAAUACAUGCAAGUCGCGCGCAGCGGGGACGGGUGAGUAACACGUUGAUAACCUCCUAUAAGACGGGGAUAACUUCGGGAAACCGGAGCUAAACCGGAUAUUGAUAGAUGGAUCCGCGCUGCAUUAGCUAGUUGGUAAGGUACCGGCUUACCAAGGAAACGAUGCAUAGCCGACCUGAGAGGGUGAUCGGCCACACUGGAACUGAGACACGGUCCAGACUCCUACGGGAGUCAGCAGUAGGGAAUCUUCCGCAAUGGGCGAAAGCCGGACGGAGCAACGCCGCGUGUGUGAUGAAGGUCUUCGGAUCGUAAAACUCUGUUAUUAGGGAUGCGGUACCUAAUCAGAAAGCCACGGCUAACUCCGUGCCAGCCGCCGCGGUAAUAC